AUUUCUUUUAGCUCAGAUACCAGGCUGCUGGAGAAUGGGAGAACCAAAAUAGACUGGAUGUCCAGUCACCCUCCUAGAAUUCCCCAUCUGCUCUGAUGAAGUUCUGGAGACACCCAAGGUUUUCUUAUCUGAAAUAGGAUAUUUGGAUCCUUUAGUCUACGAGUUGGGAAAGCACAAGAGGCCUGUCACUGCAGUGGAAUUUUCUGCAGCUCGAAUGAAUGAGAGACAAAUCACAGAUUCAAUCGAAAGCCGCACACAGAAAAUUCAAUAUCUGAGAAAAGGGAACCUUGAGGCCAUUCAUCCUCACCUCAUAGGAAUGAAGCAGAAAUAAAAACCACCUUUUAAAAGGAGAGCUAUAACUUCCAGCUUUGGGAGGUGGGUUUCAGAUUUUUUUCUC
rnacentral:lncRNA from 1 species